ACUCCUGCGGGAGGCAGCAGUGGGGAAUAUUGCACAAUGGGCGCAAGCCUGAUGCAGCCAUGCCGCGUGUGUGAAGAAGGCCUUCGGGUUGUAAAGCACUUUCAGCGGGGAGGAAGGCAAUGCGGUUAAUAACCGUGUUGAUUGACGUUACCCGCAGAAGAAGCACCGGCUAACUCCGUGCCAGCAGCCGCGGUAAUACGGAGGGUGCAAGCGUUAAUCGGAAUUACUGGGCGUAAAGCGCACGCAGGCGGUCUGUCAAGUCGGAUGUGAAAUCCCCGGGCUCAACCUGGGAACUGCAUUCGAAACUGGCAGGCUUGAGUCUUGUAGAGGGGGGUAGAAUUCCAGGUGUAGCGGUGAAAUGCGUAGAGAUCUGGAGGAAUACCGGUGGCGAAGGCGGCCCCCUGGACAAAGACUGACGCUCAGGUGCGAAAGCGUGGGGAGCAAACAGGAUUAGAAACCCGUGUAGUCCCAUGAU
rnacentral:rRNA from 1 species